rnacentral:rRNA from 1 species
GACGAACGCUGGCGGCGUGCUUAACACAUGCAAGUCGAACGAUGAAGCCGGCGCUUGCUCUGGUGAAUUAGUGGCGAACGGGUGAGUAACACGUGAGUAACCUGCCCUUGACUCUGGGAUAACUGCUAGAAAUGGUAGCUAAUACCGGAUACGACCCUCGGAGGCAUCUUCAGGGGGUGGGAAGAAUUUCGGUCAAGGAUGGACUCGCGGCCUAUCAGCUAGUUGGUGAGGUAAUGGCUCACCAAGGCGACGACGGGUAGCCGGCCUGAGAGGGUGACCGGCCACACUGGGACUGAGACACGGCCCAGACUCCUACGGGAGGCAGCAGUGGGGAAUAUUGCACAAUGGGCGCAAGCCUGAUGCAGCAACGCCGCGUGAGGGAUGACGGCCUUCGGGUUGUAAACCUCUUUUAGUAGGGAAGAAGCGAAAGUGACGGUACCUGCAGAAAAAGCACCGGCUAACUACGUGCCAGCCGCCGCCGUAA